CUGCGGGAAGGAUCACUGAAUAUGAUUUGAUACGUACAAAAUAUCAUUUAACACAUACUUGAAUUUGAAUACAGCUUUGGCGGCAUGCCGUCAAGGAUUCUAACUAAACCAAUAUAACUUGUCACACCACAACAUAAUAAAUUAAAACUUUCAACAACGGAUCUCUUGGUUCUCGCAUCGAUGAAGAACGCAGCGAAAUGCGAUAAGUAAUAUGAAUUGCAGACUUUGUGAAUCAUCGAAUUUUUGAACGCACAUUGCGCCUUGUGGUAUUCCACAAGGCAUGCCUGUUUGAGCGUCAUCCACCCUCAAACCCUCGGGUUUGGCAGUGAGUGCACGAAACCUUUGUUUACUCGAAAUACCACGCUAAGCAUGUCUAGGAUUACCCACUCAUGUGUUAACGCGACGAAUUCAACUAAACUGACCUCAAAUCAGGUAGGACUACCCGCUGACUAAGCAUAUCAAUAAGC
rnacentral:rRNA from 1 species